rfam:Citrus clementina cultivar Clemenules unplaced genomic scaffold scaffold_3, whole genome shotgun sequence.
UUGACCUUAGCUCAGUGGAAAGAGCAGAGGAUUGAUACUUAGAUUGUUGGUUCGAUUCCAGCAGGUCGAA